UACACAAGACUGUGGUGUGUGCUGGAACCUGCUGUUCUCUCUGUGUCCAGCUUUUGUUGUUCUCUCCUCUGUGCUCUCCUCUCUUCUGGUUUAUCACCUUUGUCAGAAAACAGCUAAGGAAGAUAAAACUGAUGCGAAAAGACCCGACGCAAGUGAGAAUAAGGAUGAAGAUGUGUGUUAUGCUGCACUGGAAAUCCGUCAGGCAUCACAGAGACCAAAGAAGCAGAAGAAGAUACAGAGUUCCGACUUCGCCACCUAUUCUGCCAUCAAUACUUGUAAUUUGUGACUUGUCAUUUGCACUUAAACAAAGGAGCAAUCAAUACCAUUGAUAAUGUAUACAGAAUGAAAACAUGUAUGGAAUACAGUUACGGUUUUUUUUUCUUAAAUUUGAAAGCAACAAUGUGUUUGAAAAGUUGA